rnacentral:rRNA from 1 species
AUUGUACCGCGAAACUGCGAAUGGCUCAUUAAAUCAGUUAUCGUCUAUUUGAUAGUACCUUACUACUUGGAUAACCGUGGUAAUUCUAGAGCUAAUACAUGCUGAAAACCCCGACUUCGGAAGGGAUGUAUUUAUUAGAUUAAAAACCAAUGCCCUCCGGGGCUCCCUGGUGAUUCAUGAUAACUUCUCGAAUCGCACGGCCUUGCGCCGGCGAUGGUUCAUUCAAAUUUCUGCCCUAUCAACUUUCGACGGCUGGGUCUUGGCCAGCCAUGGUGACAACGGGUAACGGAGGGUUAGGGCUCGACCCCGGAGAAGGAGCCUGAGAAACGGCUACUACAUCUAAGGAAGGCAGCAGGCGCGCAAAUUACCCAAUCCCGACGCGGGGAGGUAGUGACAAUAAAUACUGAUACAGGGCUCUUUAGGGUCGUGUAAUUGGAAUGAGUACAGUUUAAUUCCCUUAACGAGGAACAAUUGGAGGGCAAGUCUGGUGCCAGCAGCCGCGGUAAUUCCAGCUCCAAUAGCGUAUAUUAAAGUUGUUGCAGUUAAAAAGCUCGUAGUUGAACCUUGGGCCUGGCUGGCCGGUCCGCCUCACCGCGUGCACUGGUCCGGCCGGGCCUUUCCCUCUGGGGAGCCGCAUGCCCUUCACUGGGCGUGCCGGGGAACCAGGACGUUUACUUUGAAAAAAUUAGAGUGUUCAAAGCAGGCUUAUGCUCGGAUACAUUAGCAUGGAAUAAUGGAAUAGGACGUGCGGUUCUAUUUUGUUGGUUUCUAGGACCGCCGUAAUGAUUAAUAGGGACAGUCGGGGGCAUCAGUAUUCAAUUGUCAGAGGUGAAAUUCUUGGAUUUAUUGAAGACUAACUACUGCGAAAGCAUUUGCCAAGGAUGUUUUCAUUAAUCAGGAACGAAAGUUAGGGGAUCGAAGACGAUCAGAUACCGUCGUAGUCUUAACCAUAAACUAUGCCGACUAGGGAUCGGACGCUGUUGUCUUUUGACGCGUUCGGCACCUUACACGAAAGUACAAGUUUCUGG